CCGGGUUUCGCCCCCUUCCCGGCUGCCCCUGGACUCUGUGGCGGUGUUCUAGAAGUCCCAAAUGACUCCUCAGCCCAUCAAGACUGCCACAUUCUACUUGAAUUCUAUACCCGUGAACUGCACAAACUGGAAACUGCCCUAUGGGUAAAAGCUGGUUAAGAGUCUUGCCUUGUUGCCCAGGCUGCAAUGCUCGGCUUAAUGCAACCUCGCCUCCCAAGU